rnacentral:misc_RNA from 1 species
CUCUAAGAAAGAUAAUGGUAAGUAUCAUUAAUUCAUUACGAAUUUUCUACUACUUCACAAAUUGAUAAAAAAAUAAAAAAAUAAAUUCAAAGUUACAAUAAAUAAUACCACUAAUAUUACAGGAUAAACUAGCUGUUGAAGUUCCAUUGGCAAACUCACAUCGGAUACUCACAAAAACGACGGUGCAUCACCAAAGACCACUGACCUUUAACAUUACUAUAUAUGAUAUUUCAUAUUUAUAAGAUGAUUAUAUAUAUGAUUUAUAUUAUAUUAUUUGACUCACGAUGAUGAUUUAUUGCUUCCGGCCAAGUUCUCGGCGAUCUGAGUCAGUGACUGCAGGUUGCACCGAACGAUGGUGUCCACAAACACGCACGUGUCCUCCUUCGUGUUGCCGGGAGGAAUAUCCACCACGUAAGACUCCACCACCACGGUGCCGUUACCCGCUAGAGAAGGGUGGAGAGUUGUCACCGAUCUGUAAUUAGCGAGCCGAUGGUCCCCACCAACGACGCUGAAGCUGAUAACGUGGCGCUCGUCGUCCAGGAUCUCCAGGCGCUCCGUGCUGUUAGCUGCAGGGAGUCCGGAGACUACGUGAACCUCUCGGAGGGUGCCCACGUCGCCAUCCCCGACGAUAACGUGACAGCUCUUCACGAAGUGCUUGUAAGCUUGAGGGUUAUCGAAUCGUCUGACUACGGACCACACAGUGGAGACAGGGGCAGCGAUCUGCUGUACCUCGACGGAGCAGCACUGGUUGGGGCCUACAACAUGGUUGUGAUAGCGUGCGACGGUUUCUGGGACAGGGGUGGCGCACGAUAGAGGGGACCUCCGCCUCUGGCACGCGGCUGUGGUGGCAGCGAUGGUUGAGUUAGUUGGGGUGGUGUUGAUCCGAUGUUGCAGGAGUGAGGAUUUAGGACGAUUAGAAGGCAUUUCGUGCGGGUGGUGAUGUACAGGGAGAGAUGGGUUUCAGGUGUUUGUUGAGGUUUAAUAACUUCUGGUGCUGUAUAUUUGUGUCAGCGUAUGUAUAUAUAUUCUGGAGAUUGGGGUUAGCAACUUUCCAACUCGACCUGGAAGAGGUGAAUGUGGUGUUGUUUGCACUUGCAGCGACUGAUGUCUUUUGC